AACUUUUUCAAUUUUCUAAUUUAAUAGAAAUAACCAAAACAAUGUGGCUUUCAAACAAGGCUUUAAACUAAUCUAAUACAACUUCUACAACACAUUCCAGAGCAUUAUAACAAGAAAUAUUUACAGGCAGCUAAUGUAUUAAAUAACCAUGAAAAAGAAAAUCUUGCUUUUAAUACACACCAGCAAAAAACACAGGAACGGAACAAUUAGAAACUGCAACCUUGUUUUAAAAAAUUAAAUAUGAUUAUUUAGAGAAUACAAUACCACAGAAACAGCACUUUUUCUUUAAGAAUCAUAUUGAAGGGUAGUUAAUUAUGUGCAAAAAUAAUAGUUGUAGUAAUAGUAGGAAUAAUAAUAAUAAUGAGGGGAGGAGACCAGUUGAAAUACUGGAAGCAAGGAACUAGUAAGGCUGUAAAUUUAACCCUUUCGUGUGUAUGUCUACAUAGAAAAUUAACAGGCUUUCAGAUUGCACAUACCAUUUUCAUAGGCUUAUAUACAUGUUUCACUGUGAUUUAAAACAUAGUAAAUGCCUACAUUUUUCAGACUAGGAGCAGACAAGCACUUCCUUCGUAAGACUGAAAUUUAGGCCACACCUGAAAGGGAAUAUUGCAGUGGCACUUACAAAAUCAUUUCAGUGCCUUCCCACAUACAAAUUUGGUGAAUUUAAAAGAACAGCAUUUUUGACUUUAAAGAUUACUUGCUAGAAAAGGGCUAAACUUAAUUUUGUACAUUUUGUAGUAUGAUUAUGACAAAUAUAUCCAAAUUGACCUAUUUUUGAAGAUAAUUUUCUCAGAUACAAUAAAAAAUAUAUAAAAGACCACGAAGGCAAACACAAGGAACUAAGAUGAAAGAUAUGCUUUACAUGCAUUUUGGCCAAUAAAAGAAACCAUUAUAUCCAAGAGUACAUGUUGAAAUCUGAAAUGUCUAUGUAAACUGUGGCAUAUAAAUUUUUUUUUCUUAAAAAAGUACCUUCAAUUUUUUUUUACUCAAAUACUUACUUUUAAAAAAAUAUGCAACUUUCCCCAAUUUUUAAAAUAAAAUGCCACAAUAUAUUGUCAUAAGCUCCAGCAUACAUUUAAAUUUCUUAUUUUUUUAAAAGAUAGACUGGGUGAUAUGCAUACAAACUUUCCUAUAAAAUCACCAUCCGAGAGAGGACUAUGACGUGCCUAUUAGGCAACAGACUUAAAGCAGUGUUAUUGCUUUAUCAAGGAGGAGAGAACUGUGAGAAAAAUAAAACAAAGCAUCCAGGUUCAGUUCAAGAUCAAACUGAUAAACCUUGAAAACCUUGGAUCAUCUUCAGCAGAUUAUUAAUACAGAUGGUAUGAAUUAAGAAUGAUUGUUUUAAUUAGGGGAGUUGGGGUAGGUGGAUUUUAUAAAACUACUCACCGAUCCAAUGCUGAGUAUGCAAAUAAGCAGUGCUGACUUCAACAAGAAAUGAGAUUUUUCUAUUUCCUGUGUUGUUCAUUGGAAAAGGGUAAGGGACUUAAAAGGCCAAGGAAGAGGGGGCCGCAGCAUCUACUCCCGUUUUGGAUACUAAGAGAUUGCUGAAUAACAUACGGUAGGCCAAAAUCCAAGGGCACAGUCAGAAGACCUAAAUCUACUGGCUUACUAAUACUAAUCACUAAUAAUUACAUGGCAGGAUACCUGCUGAGGUAAUUGAUAAACCUACAAUUUGUACACUAUAAACCUUUGCUUCUAAUUAAAAGCAUUAUUUCUUUGGAUUAACUAAAAAUCUCAAAAACCAUUACAACAAAAAGUGAGAAUUAACUAAUAUUAUUUCAAAUUCCCUUAUAUAAGACAUAGAAGUCAGAAAGUACCUUGUUGAUUCCAAAAAGACAAAUUUCAACAGGGGAUCCAAUGCCUUAUCAUCUCUCUGUGGUCAUGAUCUGAUAUUUCUAUAUAGAACAUGACCUAUAAUCUUACCAUACUUUGGAAUACUACAUGCUUCACCUUGCAAAACAAUUCUUUUACUCAGUGAAUCAGCUGAACCAAGUGCUAAAACAAAUACAAAUAAAGGCCAGUAGAACAGACUGAGGAACACUUUGUUCUUAGUGUUCUAAUGGGCGAUGGGAACUGAAGUACUACAAAACUUUGCACUCUUCUUUAAGAAAAAAAAAAUUUAACAUCUCCAAAUCUAAAAUACUGCCUUUUAACAAAGAGUAAUUAAAUUGCCUUCAGGAAUUGACAUUCAAUGUUUGUUUUUGAAAAAUAAACUAGUAGAAAAACAUGAAGAUAUCUGAAUACCAAUUUAAGUUUUUAUAUUUUUUACCGGUUAUAUUAGAUAGUGGCUGAACAAAUCAGCUUAAGAACACAGUGAUUAGUGUACAAGAAAAAAAGCUUCAGUGAAAUCUAAACCCUCAUUUAAGGGUGGUUGACAGCUAUUUACUUAAUAGUAAAUUCUCAGUAGUAUGAACUGUCUUCUAUUAAGAGAAAUGGAGCAUAUUACACGUUGACAAUAAAGUGGCUUUUCAAAAACCAAUCUCAAAAAAAAAAAAAAAAAAAAAAAAGAAUUCCACCUCACAUAGAAAGGGAACACUAUCUUUUAAGGCCCCAAAUAUCAAGAAAUAAAUAUUUACUUAAAAUUUAAUUUCUCCCCCAUGGAUAGAACCUAUGUAUAAGACUUUUUCUAAGAAUCAUGAAAGGAUUCAUCUGAAGAGCAAGUGUAAAAUAUUAGAAAUCAAUGGCUUGACAAAAGGAAGUUAUACUGCUACUCAGUGCUUUCCAAAACGUGCCCUUAGAUAUGACUCCUGAUAAACUGAAAUCAUAAAUGUGGUGGUAAAGAGGGAAAUACACAUAAAUAAAGCAUUUUAAAAUGAUUCUCUCCCUCGUUUAAGAAAAUUCUUCUUACGUACCUGAAAUUUGAGUAAAAUGAUAAAAGUUUGGUGUAAAUUUUAAAGCUGAACUUAUAACAAGAAGCUAAAAAGAAGCCACAGAAUGAAGUUAGUCAACAGCUGUAAUAAAAUCAACACCACUUACAUACACCAUCAGAAGGCCUGAAUAAUAUUCAUGUUUACCCCCAACACUUGUUAAGAAAAGAAAAACCCAAAGGAAUUUGUAUAAUAAUUUCUUUAGAGCACUUUAUUUGAUUCAAUAUGCACUAAAAAAUAUUUACCUUAGACAAUUAUGUCAAAUAAUUUUUACUGAGUAGUCUACUGUCCGAACUGCAGAAGCUGAAGUUUUAAAAAGGCAAACGAUUUGCCACAAAUCUGCUGACGUCUGAAAAAUAUCUAAUGGCAAGUCUUCUAUUUUGGUCACUUUAUAUUUUAAGGUGUCCAUACAAAAGUAGGACUAAAUUUUUUUUAAUCCAACAAAAGAGAAGCCUGUACACAGUCUAGAACACACAUCUUGGAUCUGAGCAUCACAAAUGAAGAGAAGAAAAAUGAAACCAAGCCAAGGUGGUUUACCUGUCUCAGGGGCUGAACUCAGGGUAGUAAAGGUGGGUUUACUCCAGUAACCAUUCAAGUGGGGAUUGGCUCAUUUUCAGGAUUUACUUACAGGCCUCUUCUAAGUCCGUUAAGCCCCCAGUCCAUGCAAAUGUCCCACUUGGUGGACAGAUGAGUAAUCUAACCCCACCGGGUUUAUUUUAAUAGUUUUGAUAUUUAAUAAUAAGCUGCUUCUGAAGAUUUUCUGAGAAGUCUGUUCUCUAUUAAAAUAAGAUAGAACCUCAAAAUAUGAAUGUGAACAUUAGAAAUAGACAGCAUAUAUUACAAAUCCAUUCUUGAUAGGAACAUUAGUAAGAAUACACAUUAGCUUAAAAAACAGGCUCAGCAAAUGUUGCUGAUCUGCCAGAAGUUUUAGUUCACUAUUUACAAAUAAGACAAAGUGAAAUACAGAAAAUUUUACACAUUUGGUAGUUGACAGAUUAUUGUUUGCCAAUAGUGGUCUAUCAGAAAACUGAUAUGAAGGAAGACUGGAUAAGAGCCAGUGGUCACCUUCUCAAUCAAAUUUAAAUGUACAGAAAACUAGAUUAAUUUUGAAACAAACAUUCUGCCUUUGAUGGGAGUAACUUUAUGAUUAAAUGAUCUGACUGGGAAGUGCGAUUCCAUGGAAGUGUUUCUCUGGAAAUGACUACUAUAUGAUCUGCCACUGAAAAGUUACCAUAUUUAUUUCAGCAGACCAUUAAAAUUGAUUAAAUGAUGAUCAAUGAUGUUUCCUAGACUCCAGGUAUAAAUAGAAAAUAAAACUACUGUUGAGUUCUUUAAACCAAUAUAAAAACUAAGGUCCAACAGCAUCAAAGGGAGAAAAAAUAUAAUGGCAUGAUUCAAUGCACAUCUGCAUUGACAUCAAAGCGGAAUCUGAGCAACUUUGAUUUUACCUAGAAAAAAAACUGGUAUGUAUGUGUGUGGAAGGGGAGGCAUGGAAGUCGUUUUUAAUAGCUGUGCACUCUUGUCCAAGAGACAAUUUAUCAAACGACAUGACCUUC
rnacentral:lncRNA from 1 species